rnacentral:lncRNA from 1 species
CCCAGACUGCUUUCUUCUAUACUUUUUAUUAACCUACCUAAACUUUUAUAAUUUUAGAUUUUAAACAGGAUUCUAAAGUGAUAACUGUGAGAAAUUUUGAGUGCGAAUCAAGAACUGAAAUGAAGAAAACUCCGUAAAAGUGUUAAUCAAGAACCUAGUAAUUUUGCUUCAUCUGUGACUGUCCAAGUGAAACAAGCAUAUACGCGAGAGAGAGAGAGAGAGAGAGAGAGAGAGAGAGAGAGAGAGAGAGAGAGAGAGAGAGAGAGAGAGAGAGUAACUUCAAUGAAACCACUUGCAUUUCACAAAAGCUUUCAAUAUUUAUAAACCCAUUGAAUGUGAUUAAAGAGCACAACUUUUUCAAGUACAAACCAAACGCAUAUUAAAAUUCACUAAUUAAUCCAAUUUUGCCGAACCUCUUACUGUAAAAACGCAAUUAAACAUUCAAUUCCUAUUAAAAAUAAUUUAACAAAUAAAUUAAUUACUUACUAAGCCUGGUUUAUCAGGGUGAGAAGCAUUGGCAAAAAGGUAAGUGUAAGUAGAAGAUUCCAUCUCAAAUAGCUGGCAGAAAAGCAAUUUGACGAAGAACCAGAUGAUGUCGCAGAAGACGAUAACCCCAUUUGUUAUUGAAACUAGCUAAUUCUAAUUACAAGAGUAGAAAAUGUAUGAAUUUUUGCAGUAAUAAUCGACUGUAGUCUGUGGAGAAGAGUAGACGAUUG